UUCCGGUUGAUCCUGCCGGACCUGACUGCUAUCGGAUUGAUACUAAGCCAUGCGAGUCAUUGUAGCAAUACAAGGCAGACGGCUCAGUAACGCGUAGUCAACCUACCCUAUGGACGGGGAUAACCUCGGGAAACUGAGAAUAAUACCCGAUAGAACACUAUACCUGGAAUGGUUUGUGUUCCAAAUAAUUUAUUGCCGUAGGAUGGGACUGCGGCCUAUCAGUUUGUUGGUGAGGUAAUGGCCCACCAAGACUAUUACAGGUACGGGCUCUGAGAGGAGUGGCCCGGAGAUGGGUACUGAGACACGGACCCAGGCCCUAUGGGGCGCAGCAGGCGAGAAAACUUUGCAAUGUGCGAAAGCACGACAAGGUUAAUCCGAGUGAUUUCUGCUAAAGAAAUCUUUUGUCAGUCAUAAAACCACUGACGAAUAAGGGGUGGGCAAGUUCUGGUGUCAGCCGCCGCGGUAAAACCAGCACCUCAAGUGGUCAGGAGGAUUAUUGGGCCUAAAGCAUCCGUAGCCGGCUCUGUAAGUUUUCGGUUAAAUCCAUGUGCUCAACGCAUGGGCUGCCGAAAAUACUGCAUAGCUAGGGAGUGGGAGAGGUAGACGGUACUCGGUAGGAAGGGGUAAAAUCCUUUGAUCUAUCGAUGACCACCUGUGGCGAAGGCGGUCUACCAGAACACGUUCGACGGUGAGGGAUGAAAGCUGGGGGAGCAAACCGGAUUAGAUACCCGGGUAGUCCCAGCUGUAAACGAUGCAGACUCGAUGAUGCAUUGGCAUAUAGCCAGUGCAGUGUCGCAGGGAAGCCGUUAAGUCUGCCGCCUGGGAAGUACGUCGCAAGAGAUCAACUUAAACGAAUUGGCGGGGAACAC
rnacentral:rRNA from 1 species